rnacentral:rRNA from 1 species
AGACGACCUCAGUUCGGGCGAGAUCACCCGCCGAACUUAAGCAUAUUACUAAGCGGAGGAAAAGAAACUAACAAGGAUUCCCUCAGUAGCGGCGAGCGAACAGGGAGGAGCCCAGCGCCGAAUCCCACGGUCCGAGAGGGCCGAUCGGGAAAUGUGGCGUUAAGGAGGGUCCGCAAGUCCCGACGUCGCGAUAGCGGCGCGUCCAAGUCCUUCUUGAAAGAGGCCGAACCACCCGCAGAGGGUGCCAGGCCCGUAGGACCGCCGCCCGGCGUCGGGUCGGACCUCUCCCUAGAGUCGGGUUGCUCGGGAUUGCAGCCCUAAGCAGGUGGUAAACUCCAUCUAAGGCUAAAUAUGACCACGAGACCGAUAGCGAACAAGUACCGCGAGGGAAAGUUGAAAAGAACUUUGAAGAGAGAGUUCAAGAGUACGUGAAACCGUUCGGGGGUAAACCUGAGAAACCCGAAAGAUCGAAAGCCGAGAUACAGCGUCCGUCGUCGCGUUCGCGAUGCGGCGACGGCGUGCACUUCUCGGCCGGUAGGACGUCGCGACCCGUUGGGAGUCGCCGACGCUUUAUGGGGGCGCGCGGGAAGCUCGAGGCGGCGCGGCGGGACUCGUUCCCGUCGUCUUUGCGUUGCCCCUCGAACCCGUCGCGCCUUCGCAUCUGCGUUCGGCGCGCCCGACGCGACAUUCACAUACAGACCGAUGCGUUCGUUCGGCGGUGCGCCUUUUCGGCGCGCCCGACCUCGCGUCCGCCGACGCCCCUCCUAACGGAGGCGGCGCGCGGGUGCGGGAUAUCUCGGGCGUGUGAUUACGACACACCGACGUCCGAUCGUCUGCGACGCUUUUGCUUUGGGCGUUUUCAGGACCCGUCUUGAAACACGGACCAAGGAGUCCAACGUGCGCGCGAGUCAAUGGGAGCAAACUAUUAAACCCAAAGGCGAAGCGAAAGCGAAGGACGACCGGGCGGCGGCCUCCCCCUCACGGGGGACGGUCGUCGUCCCGCGUCGUCCGUCGGGAGGAUGGGCACGCCGGCUCGACCGAGCGGCCCCGCACUCCCGGGGCGUCUCCGUCAGGCACCGUCGCGCUCGGCGUUCGCUCGUCGACGCGUCGGUGCCGGAGGCGCACCUAUAGCGCGCUCGCUGGGACCCGAAAGAUGGUGAACUAUGCCUGGUCAGGACGAAGUCAGGGGAAACCCUGAUGGAGGUCCGCAGCGAUUCUGACGUGCAAAUCGAUCGUCAGAACUGGGUAUAGGGGCGAAAGACCAAUCGAACCGUCUAGUAGCUGGUUCCCUCCGAAGUUUCCCUUAGGAUAGCUGGCGCUCGCUCUCAAUGCGAUAGAGUCUCAUGCGGUAAAGCGAAUGAUUAGAGCGAAUCGGGGUCGAAACGACCUCAACCUAUUCUCAAACUUUAAAUGUGUGAGAUCUCCGGCUUGCCCGAUACACGAAGCCGCGAGAUCGGAUCUAGAGUGCCAAGUGGGCCAUUUUUGGUAAGCAGAACUGGCGCUGUGGGAUGAACCAAACGCGAAGUUAAAGCGCCCAAAUCGACGCUCAUUGGAAACCAGAAAAGGCGUUGGUAACUCAGGACAGCAGGACGGUGACCAUGGAGGUCGGAAUCCGCUAAGGAGUGUGUAACAACUCACCUGCCGAAGUUACCAGCCCUGAAAAUGGAUGGCGCUUAAGCGUCGUGCUUAUACUUCGCCGUUGGCGGCAAGCGCGGUCGCGCCGCCCCCUCGGGGACGGCGCGGCCCGAAGAGAGGCCCCGACGAGUAGGGGGGUCGCGACGGUGAGCGCAGAAGGACCGGGCGUGAGCCCGUCUGGAGCCGCCGUCGGCGCAGAUCUUGGUGGUAGUAGCAAAUACUUCAGCGAGCACCUGGAGGACUGACGUGGAGAAGGGUUUCGUGUGAACAGCAGUUGCACACGAGUCAGUCGAUCCUAAGCCGCUAGGCGAAAGCCGACGUCGAUGAGGCGCAGACGCGAGAGAGACAUAGAGAUCACGACGAUCGCGUUGUCGUUGUCGUUGGCGCGUCGUCGCCGUCGCGUCGCGUUCUUGUUUGCGCCGCCCGCCGCCCUCCGCACGUACGCGCGCCGCCACUUGUGACGGCACGUUACGCGGGGUAAGGGGGGUGCGGCAGCGCUGGAGAUAUGGAACGCGAUCGCGCGCGGCGAGCGCCGGAACUGCGUACGACCGAUCCGAGUAUUUCGUAUCACAUGUCGCGCCUCACGGGCGAAAGGGAAUGCGGUUCCUAUUCCGCAACCCGGCAACGGAACCGCCACUAUUCGGGCCCUCAUCUGAGAGUUCGUCUGGGUAACCUAAAACGACCCGGAGACGCCGUCGGGAGGUCCGGGAAGAGUUUUCUUUUCUGCAUGAGCGUUCGAGAUCCAUGGAAGCCCAUAGCGGGGAGAUAUGGUUCGGAACGCGAAGAGCACCGCAAUUGCCGCGGUGUCCGGAUCGUCCCCUCGGACCUUGAAAAUCCGGGAGAGGGCUACGAGGAGCGACCGUGCCGGCUCGUACCCAUAUCCGCAGCCGGUCUCCAAGGUGAAUAGCCUCUAGUCGAUAGAAUAAUGUAGGUAAGGGAAGUCGGCAAAUUAGAUCCGUAACUUCGGGACAAGGAUUGGCUCUGAGGGUCGGGGCGCGUCGGGCUUGGCGCGGCAGCGGACGACGGCCAAAGACCGGGACCGAGUUAGGCGGCGUUCGUCUCACUAGCGGGGGCGCUCGUCGAUCCGACCUCGGUACCGCGUUCGCAGGCCGCCCGCGAAAACGUCAAGCUGCGGGGCCCCGAGGUAGCGUUCGGAGACUCCGGCGGUAGGUUCGCCUCCGGGCGUUCCGGAACCGGUCCCUCUCCGUCUCGCGACCCUCGGGACGUUACCCCUUCGACCGCCGACAAACGACCGACUCAGAACUGGCACGGACAAGGGGAAUCCGACUGUCUAAUUAAAACAAAGCAUUGCGAUGGCCCCAAAGGGUGUUGACGCAAUGUGAUUUCUGCCCAGUGCUCUGAAUGUCAACGUGAAGAGAUUCAAGCAAGCGCGGGUAAACGGCAGGAGUAACUAUGACUCUUUUAAGGUAGCCAAAUGCCUCGUCAUCUAAUUAGUGACGCGCAUGAAUGGAUUAACGAGAUUCUCAAAUCUGUCCCUACCUACUAUCUAGCGAAACCACAGCCAAGGGAACGGGCUUGGAAAAAUUAGCGGGGAAAGAAGACCCUAUUGAGCUUGACUCUAGUUUGGCACUGUAAGGAGACACGAGAGGUGCAGCAUAGGUGGGAGACGGGACCGUGUCGGUCGAGCGCCCCGAGCGGCGAUCGCCCCCCGUCGCCAAUGAGAUACCACUACUCUCGUCGUUUCCUUACUUACUCGAUGGCGCGGAGCGCGUGCCCCGCCGUCCGCUACGGCGCGACGCGCGGCGGCCACGACGUUCUCGCAUCAAGCGCACCUCGCGCGGCAAGUAAACGGUCGGCGCGAGACGACGGUCGCGUCACACGGCGCAGACGGAACCGCGCGGCGAGUCCGCUCACGCGCGCGUUCCUUGCCCGCGCGCGCGUCCCCGUCCGCCCGUCGGCGAAAGUCGCAACCAUGCUAGGUCGCGAUCCGAUUCGAGGACAACGUCAGGCGGGUAGUUUGACUGGGGCGGUACAUCUGUCAAAGAAUAACGCAGGUGUCCCAAGGCCAGCUCAGCGAGGACAGAAACCUCGCGUAGAGCAAAAGGGCAAAUGCUGGCUUGAUCCCGAUGCUCAGUAAGCAUAGGGACCGCGAAAGCGGGGCCUAUCGAUCCUUUUGGCUUUUACGAGUUUUAAGCAAGAGGUGUCAGAAAAGUUACCAUAGGGAUAACUGGCUUGUGGCGGCCAAGCGUUCAUAGCGACGUCGCUUUUUGAUCUUUCGAUGUCGGCUCUUCCUAUCAUUGCGAAGCAGAAUUCGCCAAGUGUCGGUUUGUUCAUCCGCUGAUCGGGGAACGUGAGCUGGGUUUAGACCGUCGUGAGACAGGUUAGUUUUACCCUACUGAUGACAAUGUCGUUGCGAUAGUAAUUCUGCUCAGUACGAGAGGAACCGCAGGGUCGGACAAUUGGUUAAGCACUCGCCCGAGCGGGCGUUGGUGCGAAGCUACCAUCCGUGGGACUAGGCCUGAACGCCUCUAAGGCCGCAUCCCGUCUAGACGAAGGUUGCAACGAUACCAUCUUAGGAGUUUCGGGAGUCGAAAGGCUCGAUAACCUCCUUAGGCCGCACGGUCGUCUUGCGCUUGACGACCGCGGCCGCCAGAGCCCUUUAGUCGCGCGGGGCGACGCGCUUGCGGCGACGGGAUCUCUCCGUUACGUCCGCACGCGCCCCAUCGCGAUCGACCAGGGGUGAAUGUUCGAUGUCGAAACUCGGAAUCGUCUGUAGACGACUUACGUACUUGGCGGGGCGUUGUAAACGGUAGAGCAGUUGAGCGCGCUGCGAUCUGUUGAGACCAGGCCCUUAGCUUGGGGAUUCGUUAGCCCUAGAGGGCUACGAGACCCCCCAUUCGUGUGAGAAUGAAUGAGCGCGAGAGAGAGAGAGAUAGAGAGGCAGGCGCGAUAAGGACGACGACGACGACGACCGCGCGUUCGUCGUCCUCGCCUCUCUCCCGUUUUUUUUUUCCUCUUCCUAAAACGAGCUCCGCCUUUGUUCGCGUCGCGGAAGACUCGUCGUCGUCGUCGUCGACCGUUCGUUCGUUCGUUCGUUCGUUCGUUCGUCAGUUUUGGGACGCGAACGAGACGCGGUCGGUCACACGACGCGACGGAUGUGGGAACGGCCGCGAGGAUGGGCCAACGGCGAAACCGAUUUUACCUCUUCUCUCUUGGAGCUCCGCUGUCGGUUUGAGGCGCGCCCGACCAAGACGAGCGCUGCGUACGUAACAUCAUCUGCAUUCGGGCGCGGAUACAGGUGCCGACGACUCGACUCGACUGUCACAUCUGUGUCAUCACUUACGCGUUAAAAAUGGGAACGGAGACACGUAAAACGUCUCGCGCGUACUUCACAUAAGAGCAAUGUGCGAGUCAAUCGACGCAUUUUUACAUUUGACCUUUCCAGUCGCCCAUAUAUACAUAUAGUUACGGACCGGCCACCUCCACUGGACGCGGGUAAUGCGACGCACGCAUUUCAUUUCACUCGAAAUUCGUCAUCGGUUUCGCCGAAACUAAAUCGCUCUAAGAUUAACUAACUAACUAACUCAAUUUUUCCUUUGCGGUAACGAAGAACGUAACAAUAGCAACGCGAAGAUGCCCAACAACGCACUCGGCCGCUACUCACGACGACCACACGGCGACUGCGGUGGCCGUGGUCUCCCUCCCCGCCCCAUCCACUGCGCUCUCAAGACACUCGCACCGAUUCGCUGCACGUGCAGUUCUUUGGGCGGCGCGGUCGCAUCGGAUCCGAAUUCGUACGAGUACUCACCACGACAUCAUCAACGAGAAAGAAACAUAUUAUGCGUACAUGUUUACGUGCUCGGUUAAAUUAUUUAUUACUUACAAUUAUAUCUCUUACAAAAAAUACGUACGACAUUGCGACUCGAUCAAAAUACUUUGGUUCUUUUCGGCGACCGACCGUUCGUACGAAAAGUACUGUCCGUCUAUUUACAGGUACAAUAAAUUUACACUCACGUGACAAAUCGACAUUAACAAAAAGACAAACAUAAUAAUAAUAUAUCACCUUAUUCGCCGUUCAAAGUAAUCACGGUAAUCGUAGUAGGCCUUCUUUUUUUAAUGCAUUUUGUAUUGCCGCUUUUGAAUUCACUCGACUUUAGUUUUCGUGUAGGUGUAACUACACGUCUUGCUCUAUUAAAAUGAGGUGGAACGUAGUAGUUUAAGGAAAGUCGGCAUUUUUUAAGCUUAGUCCUACACUAAACUCGAUAUUGCUUUUUUAUAUCUCGUACUACGCUUACGCACGUCGGAGCGUUCAAGUGUCUUGCUCAAUAAUAUACAAUACGUACGUUUGGCAUUGUGAUUAUCCUACAUAAUUGUGUGAGGUUUUACUGAAAAAUUAAUUGAAUGGUAUCUACGCGGCUCCGAUUUAUGGUACCAAAAAUUUAUUUACCUCCUUAAAAGAUUCGCUCUCCGUGUUUGCUAGCUCACAUUGUUCACAUGGAAAAGUACCCAAUACAAACGCUGGAGUUUUUCCAUACAAAUACAAAGGAAGCUUCGUACUAACAACAGCGCGGUGUCGCAAGAUACGCAAACGCCUACUUCUCAAUUUCAUUCGUCAUUGUAUCCCUCAACCACAUGCAGAAAACUCCGAUGUAAGGAUAAUUUGUGUCGUCGGCGCUCAAUCGCAUCCUCCCGUGAUACCUACUAAUGCGAAAUAUGAUAGGUAAUCGAAAUACGCAAAUCUUGCCGUUUUAAUGUAUGAAUAAUUAUGAAGGCUGUAUGAGUGCUACGACCUACGAGUAUUAAUGAACUACAUCACUACAUUUCAAUAUCUCUUUUUAAUUUUGUUUAGCUUGUUCGUUUCUUUCUCGAUCCCGUGCAAUUCAGAUUUCAAAGUUUUUUUUGUUUUUUUUUUUUUUUAAUUUGU